AUUUAACGCUGGCGGCAGGCCUAACACAUGCAAGUCGAACGAGUGGCGGACGGGUGAGUAAUGUCUGGGAAACUGCCCGAUGGAGGGGGAUAACUACUGGAAACGGUAGCUAAUACCGCAUACCAUCGGAUGUUCCCAGAUGGGAUUAGCUAGUAGGUGGGGUAAUGGCUCACCUAGUCGACGAUCCCUAGCUGGUCUGAGAGGCUGACCAGCAACCCUGGAACUGGGACACGGUCCAGACUACUACGGGAGGCAGCAGUGGGGAAUAUUGCACAAUGGGCGCAAGCCUGAUGCAGCCAUGCCGCGUGUAUGAAGAAGGCCUUCGGGUUGUAAAGUACUUUCAGCGAGGAGGCGUUACUCGCAGAAGAAGCACCGGCUAACUCCGUGCCAGCAGCCGCGGUAAUAC
rnacentral:rRNA from 1 species